AAGUGAUGCUGCUGUGCCUCAUGCGCAAAUGCACACAGCAUCUCUCUUUAUGGGGAAACGCGUUUAUUGUUUCUGCUGCGGGGUGGGGUGCUCGCUGCAGGUAUUUAAUAACCUCAGGCAGAUAUCUUUUAACGUUACAGUUGUAGUGAGUGGCGCUUUUUCUGUUUGUCCCACCCCGUAACCUUAGACAGGAAGUAAACAGACAUCAGCUGUUUCCAAUCUAGCCUCCCCUUAAAAGGAGUCAUAGCUAGCUAGGUGAGCGCUGCCUCGCUGCCUCGCUGCCUCCUGUCUCCUGUCUUCUGUCUCCUGUUUCCUGUUUUCGUUACCGCUGUUGAAGGGUUUAUAUCAGACUAAGGUGCUGUGACGGGUAUACGCAAGCGGGUCGGGGUUUGUGUUGGCCUCCCUCACAGUUGUACAACACACGUGUAGGCCGACAAGUGUGGCGUGUGUAUGGGCCCUGACGAUCACAUGUAACUGGAUGUUUAAAGGAGCAGGGUAACAUGACGAUGGCUUGCGGAUGAGUUAGCUCCAUGUUAUUUGUCUGAGUGUUACGUCGCAUGACACACAGGUGGUGGUGGUGAAG